rnacentral:rRNA from 1 species
AUUGAACGCUGGCGGCAGGCCUAACACAUGCAAGUCGAGCGGAUGAAGGGAGCUUGCUCCUUGAUUCAGCAGCGGACGGGUGAGUAAUGCCUAGGAAUCUGCCUGGUAGUGGGGGAUAACGUUCCGAAAGGAACGCUAAUACCGCAUACGUCCUACGGGAGAACGCAGGGGACCUUCGGGCCUUGCGCUAUCAGAUGAGCCUAGGUCGGAUUAGCUAGUUGGUGAGGUAAUGGCUCACCAAGGCGACGAUCCGUAACUGGUCUGAGAGGAUGAUCAGUCACACUGGAACUGAGACACGGUCCAGACUCCUACGGGAGGCAGCAGUGGGGAAUAUUGGACAAUGGGCGAAAGCCUGAUCCAGCCAUGCCGCGUGUGUGAAGAAGGUCUUCGGAUUGUAAAGCACUUUAAGUUGGGAGGAAGGGCAGUAAGUUAACACCUUGCUGUUUUGACGUUACCAACAGAAUAAGCACCGGCUAACUUCGUGCCAGCAGCCGCCGUAAGAC